UUGGAGGGCAAGUCUGGUGCCAGCAGCCGCGGUAAUUCCAGCUCCAAUAGCGUAUAUUAAAGUUGUUGCAGUUAAAAAGCUCGUAGUUGAACUUCGGGGUUUACCCAUUGGUCAGGCUUAAUUGUCUGUACUGGUGAGAUAAAUCUCUACCUUCUGAGGAACUUUCAUGCCAUUUAGUUGGUGUGAUAGGAAAUCAGGACUGUUACUUUGAAAAAAUUAGAGUGUUUAAAGCAGGCUAACGUCUGAAUACAUUAGCAUGGAAUAAUGAAAUAGGACAGAUUGGUUCUAUUUCGUUGGUUUCUAGGAUCACCGUAAUGAUUAAUAGGGAUAGUUGGGGGCAUUAGUAUUCAAUUGUCAGAGGUGAAAUUCUUGGAUUUAUUGAGGACUAACUAUUGCGAAAGCAUUUGCCAAGGAUGUUUUCAUUAAUCAAGAACGAAAGUUAGGGGAUCGAAGACGAUCAGAUACCGUCGUAGUCUUAACCAUAAACUAUGCCGACUAGGGAUCGGACGAAGUUAAUUUUAUAAUGACGCGUUCGGCGCCUUACGGGAAAC
rnacentral:rRNA from 1 species